rnacentral:lncRNA from 10 species
AACACACCAAUCAGCACUCUGUGUCUAGCUAAUCUAGUGGGGACUUGGAGAACUUUUGUGUCUAGCUAAAGGAUUGCAAACGCACCAAUCAGCACUCUGUGUCUAGCUAAAGGUUUGUAAAUGCACCAAUCAGCACCCUGUCAAAAUGGACCAAUCAGCUCUCUGUAAAAAACGGGCCAAUCAGCUCUCUGUAAAAUGGACCAAUCAGCUCUGUGGAAAAUGGACCAAUCAGCAGGAUGUGAGUGGGGGGGGUGGUCAGAUAAAGGGAUAAAAGCAGGGUGCCCAAGCCGACAGCGAUAACCUGCUGGGGUCCCCUUCUGUGUUGUGGAAGCAUUGUUCAUUUGCACUUUGCAGUAAAUCUUGCUGCUCUUCACUCUGGGUGUGUGUUUCUUUUGUGAGCUGUAACACUCAGGGCAAAGGUCUGUAGCUUCACUCCUGAAGCCAGCAAAAUCACGAACUCUCUGCAAAGGACAGCUACUCGGGCCAGCAAGACCAUGAACCCUCCGUGAAAGACGAACAACUCUGGAUAGGAGGAAGGAACAAUUCCGGACGCACAACUUUUAUGAGCUGUAACAUUCACUGGGAAGGUCUGCAGCUUUAUUCCUGAGGCCAGAGAGAACAUGAACUCACCGGAAAGAAUGAACGCCAUCUUUAAGAGCUGUAACACUCACUGCGAAGGUCUGCAGCUUCGCUCGCGAAGUCAGCGAGACCACGAACCCACCAGAAGCGAGAAACUCCAGACACACCAUCUUUAAGAACCGUAACACUCACCGCAAGGGUCCGUGGCUUCAUUCUUGAAGUGAGCAAGACCAAGAACCCACCAAUUCCGGACACAAGGUCCACUACUGUGUCACAUAGGGACAUCCGUCACAUAGCCAGAUGGAGAGCUAUGUGGAAUAAAAUCUGGGAGAAUCUCAAGCACAGGAGCUUAUUUUCCCAUGGAGUCGGGUCAUAACAACCUCCCAGCUCAUAAAUGCAUUCAUUCACCUUGAAGCUUCCAUUAUUCCUUUUUAAAUUUUAGUCAUCUUCAUUUUUUUCAGAGUUACCACUAACUACACUAAAUGCAUUAUUCUAAGCACAUUGCAUGAGGAUAUAAUUUUUAUGGAAAUUCUAAAUGAAACAGGUUAGGCAUGUGCAAUUCAAAACAUUAACCAAGAAUAGAAAUUUCAAUCAUAUCAUUUUCUUACCAUGUCUUAAUAUUUUUUUAAAAUGUGUUUAGAUAUAAAAAUCUUCUAUAAUUUUCUAAUGUAAUUUCUACUAGAAAAAUUUUUAAAGUUCUUGUACAUACAAAGUAUCUAAGUAAAAUGUCUAAAGCCAUUAAUGCCCUAUCAGACUCUGUUACAGAUCUAACUGAUGGUUAAGUGGUGAUAUUAUAAGGUUGUCUUGUUCUAGGAAAGUAACGUGCUAGACACAGCCCUCUCUGAAGAGCUGCAUGAUAGUUGAGAUUCAACUGAAAAAGGAAAUGAUGACCCUUACAAAGCUACGUGUUUGAAUAAGAACUUUGUCUUGUACAGACGUAUUUUGAAAGAAGAAUCAAGUUGAAAUCUUAGGAAAAAAAAUGAGUCAUGUUCCACAAAAUAAUCUGAAUAAAAGUUCAGGCAUUUGGCAUAACAUGAUAUUUUUACAAUGAUGCCUAUUAAUGUUUUUCUACUUUUAAUACAAAUGCUUUGAGCAUAAAUUUAAAAGAAAGAGAGACAAAGCCUUUUGUUUCAUAAGCUGUGUGUUCCUUUCUCUCUUAGGAGGAUCAUGUUUUUGUAAGAUUAAUACUGAAUGACUCAAGAGGCUUAAAUACAAUUUACUUCUUUCCCUAAGGUUGAUGGAAAUGGUAAUACAGAGAACUAAGCAUAAUUUUCCACAAAAAAUUCUCACUUCAGCAACUAUAUUCUCUUCUAGGCUCCUAGCAUGCUAUAAAAUAUGUCUGCAGUUUACAGCACACUGUAGAGAAUACAUUAAAAUGCACACUCACAGUUUCGUAUACAGGGAUGGAGACACAUUUGAUGGAUGAAGAAUUCACCAUUCAUCCUCUGAUAUGUUCCAAUUUGAACAAGCAAAGGAGCUGGCAGACCAGACACUUCUACUUGAGUCAACCUGUGACAGAAGCAGUACCAGGUCAACUCUUGUGACUAUAACAGAUUAAGGCUUUGGGACAUUGCAAUUCCCAUAACAGCAUAAAAAUCACAGCCAUUCAGGUAUCUCUCAGUGUUAUGUAACAUAGGUAUUAAUGGCAAUUUUAUCUCAUAUUUUAGUAAUUUUCAUAGUAAUAGUAUUUCUCUAUUGAAAACAAUAUAAGCCAUACUCUGUUUAUGAUUUUCUAAUCAUUAUGAGUUGGUAAUAUUAUUUUUUAAUAAAAAGUCACUUUAAAACUAAAUAAGUGGUGAUUACAGUAAAUAAAAUUGAACAUAAAUUAUAAUUUAUUAUUGCUAUAAUCUUACUAGUUCUUUUCAACGUGCAAGACAAAAAAGGGCUAGUUUUUCUGAAUAUAUGUUAAGAAUUAAAACUUAGCUGUGAGUUACUGACGGUAAAUAAAUGAAUUAAUGAGAAUGCUGUAUAUCUGUGUGCCAGUUUUUCUGCUAUAGGUAAGUUCCAUGAUUUAACAGUAAUUUGUAUUUAAAUCUGUUCUUUUCUUUAAUUCUUAAACUUACUAUUAUUUUGUUAUUUCAAAGAACAACAUUAAAAUUAUUCAAAGAACUUCAUCUUAAUUUUUCAUCAGAUUGCAUCUGUAUUCACAAAUUAAAAUUUAUUUGUUGAAAAUAAUCACUCUUUUAAAUGUAGGUGAAAUAUAUAAAGCUGUGCCUUCCAUUUGUUCAAUAUACGUUAAAUGACGUUUGCUAAAAUAAC